AUUGAACGCUGGCGGCAGGCCUAACACAUGCAAGUCGAGCGCGCGGCGAACGGGUGAGUACUGUCUGGGAAACUGCCUGAUGGAGGGGGAUAACUACUGGAAAAGGUAGCUAAUACCGCAUACCAUCAGAUGUGCCCAGUUGGGAUUAGCUAGUAGGUGGGGUAACGGCUCACCUGGGCGACGAUCCCUAGCUGGUCUGAGAGGAUGACCAGCCACACGGGAACUGAGACACGGUCCAGACGCCUACGGGAGGCAGCAGUGGGGAAUAUUGCACAAUGGGCGCAAGCCUGAUCCAGCCACGCCGCGUGAGUGAAGAAGGUCUUCGGAUUGUAAAGCACUUUAAGUUGGGAGGCGUUACCAACACAAUAAGCAACGGCUAACUUCGUGCCAGCCGCCGCGGUAAUAC
rnacentral:rRNA from 1 species